rnacentral:lncRNA from 1 species
CGAGCGGAGAUUUUCCGGGUAUCCCGCGUGCGGGGACCUGGUGGGGGGACCCGUCCCCCAACACGGGGCCCGGGCCUGCUCCCGCUCCCAUCGGGAAAUGGCACCUCUGGGAGGGGCCUGGAUGGCRUGUGGGGCAGGCACGUGGGGCAGGCACAUCUGGCAGAUGUGGCCUGGAGGGAGGGCUGGUGAUGGGAGACGCCUUCCCGAGGGUGGGGAGUGCCACGUCCCUGGGGCGGGCACCUGGCCCGGCACCGUGGUGCCCAGACGCUGGCGGCGAUGAGCACUGGGUACCUGCAGGGCUUGGCCUCCCCCGGCCACCCACCUCUGAGCAAGGCACUGCUGGAAACUCCAAAACAUCUCCCAAAUCCCGCCCGGCCGCAGGCAGYGGCACCCUGCAGCCCACGGGGCCCUCGACGGGCUCAGCCUUCAGCCCCGGCAAGGUGCCGCAGUGCCCUCGGGGCGCUGGGAUGGGGCACGGCCCUGCCAGCCCCCGCUCGCGCUGCUGCAGGGAACCAUCUCCCCGUGCAGGAAACCAUCCUCCUCUGCAGGAACCGCUUCUGCCCGCAAAAAAACAUUUCCCCUGCAAGAAAACAUCUCCCCCUGCAAGAGCCACCUCCCACUGCAAGAAAACAUCUCCCCUGCAAGAACCAUCUCCCACCGCAAAAAACAUCUCCCACUGCAAGGAUUAUCUCCUCUGCAAGAAAACGUCUCCCACUGCAAGAACCAUCUACUCUGCAAGAACCAUCUCCCCUGCAAGAGCCACCUCCCCUGCAAGGACCAUCUCCCACYGCAAAAARCCAUCUCCCRCUGCAAGGAUUAUCUAUCUUCUCCGCAAGAAAACAUCUCCUACUGCAAGAACCAUCCACUCUGCAAGAACCACCUCCCACUGCAAGAAAACAUCCACGGCAAGGGCCAUCUCCCCCCGCAAGAGCCAUCUCUGCUGCAAGAGCCAUCUCCCCUGCAAGGACCAUCUCCCCUGCAAGGACCCUCUCCCACUGCAAGAGCCAUCUCCCCUGCAAGGACCAUCUCCUACUGCAAGAACCAUCUGCCCUGCAAGGACCAUCCCCCCUGCAAGGACCAUCUCCCCUGCAAGGACCCUCUCCCACUGCAAGAGCCAUCUCCCCUGCAAGGACCAUCUCCUACUGCAAGAAAACAUCUCCUCCGCAAGAACCAUCUGCCCUGCAAGGACCAUCCCCCCUGCAAGGACCAUCCCCCCUGCAAGGACCCUCUCCCCUGCAGGGACCAUCUCCCCCACAAGGACCAUCUCCCCUGCAGGGACCAUCUCCCCACGUUGCAAGCGUGGGGGGCAGCAGCUGCCCCAGGCCACGGAGGUUGGGGGAUGCUCCCCCG